GGUCCUCGUGCGCGUCGGCCUGGCCUUGGCGUGCGGGGUCAGUAGCGCGACGCUUUGUUUAAUGUUCUUUACUUGGCCGUGCAAAUAACGUCAGUGUCCCCAGAGCAGAGUGACGCGCUGUUAGAUUACAGUCACCAACUGUGUAGAUCUAAGGGCCAGCUUUCUAGAAGGACUUCAGUUUGAAUGUUUGACAGUGAUUAUUUACAGUGUUUCCUUACAGUAGGAUAGUGAGAUGGAACAAAAACAUUUUCGCUCAAACCCAUAUCUUUAGCCAACAAUAUUGAAUAUCUAUAUGAUGUGCUUUGAAAUAUUUCUUUACCGAACUUAUAAACAUUACCAAAUCAGCAAAAGAACUUUAUUUCGUUUUAAAUCCAGCCUUUAUUUAAAAACAUUUAUCCAACACAUUGGGAAGAAAGAAAAGUACAUAUUAUUUGUGUACAGAAUGUGUAUAUGUCAAAUUCGUGUAUUAACGUUUAAAACAUUAAAUUCAGCAUGAAACAAUUAGCAUGACUGUACUGAAGAACUACGAUAUUAUUUUGUAGUUUAGUAUAAUCAGUAAAGGGUAGGAAUGGAAGACUGACCUUUUUAAUAAAAAUU
rnacentral:lncRNA from 1 species